rnacentral:rRNA from 1 species
AUGCCGGAGAAAGCCUUGAGACGAUUUUUCACGGACGAGGAUUCCACAUGCCCGGUGAGAUUUCGCUAUAGGCGCAUCAUGUCAUGGCAGCAGCAACAUCAAAUGGGAGAUGCAAUGUUGCAUAGGGAUUGCAAGGCCGAAACCUUGGGAUACAUUGGGUUUCGACUUACAUGUUACAUGAUAUGCGUAGACGAUCCUACAGAGCAGAUGGGCACAUGUAUGUGUGGAGACUCUGAAAAGAUGAACACAUGUAUGUGUCCGGUUAUUCUGAAGCUAUUUAAUAUAUUAGUUGUGUCAAGAGGUCAAGUCCAGGUUCCUCAUGUCAAGUCUAUAAGUUUCACUCAAAAGAAUAAAAUGCUCUCAAGGGUCCUACUGAAAAAAGAACCACAUUAG